rnacentral:misc_RNA from 1 species
GGAUUGAACUACAGCUGCGU